GACGAACCUUGCAAACGUUAUUCGGAAUCACUGGGCUUAAAGGGUUCGUAGGCUGUGCAGUAAGUUGGGUGUGAAAUACCUCGGCUUAACCGAGGAAUUGCGCCCAAAACUACUGUGCUCGAGGAAGAUAGAGGUGAGCGGAACUUAGGGUGGAGCGGUGAAAUGCGUUGAUAUCCUAAGGAACACCGGUGGCGAAAGCGGCUCACUGGAUCUUAUCUGACGCUGAGGCACGAAAGCCAGGGUAGCGAACGGG
rnacentral:rRNA from 1 species